rnacentral:rRNA from 1 species
GACGAACGCUGGCGGCGUGCCUAAUACAUGCAAGUAGAACGCUGAAGAGAGGAGCUUGCUCUUCUUGGAUGAGUUGCGAACGGGUGAGUAACGCGUAGGUAACCUGCCUGGUAGCGGGGGAUAACUAUUGGAAACGAUAGCUAAUACCGCAUAACAACAGUUGUUGCAUGACAGCUGUUUAAAAGAUGCAAUUGCAUCACUACCAGAUGGACCUGCGUUGUAUUAGCUAGUUGGUGAGGUAACGGCUCACCAAGGCGACGAUACAUAGCCGACCUGAGAGGGUGAUCGGCCACACUGGGACUGAGACACGGCCCAGACUCCUACGGGAGGCAGCAGUAGGGAAUCUUCGGCAAUGGGGGGAACCUUGACCGAGCAACGCCGCGUGAGUGAAGAAGGUUUUCGGAUCGUAAAGCUCUGUUGUAAGAGAAGAACGGGUGUGAGAGUGGAAAGUUCACACUGUGACGGUAUCUUACCAGAAAGGGACGGCUAACUACGUGCCAGCAGCCGCGGUAAUACGUAGGUCCCGAGCGUUGUCCGGAUUUAUUGGGCGUAAAGCGAGCGCAGGCGGUUAGAUAAGUCUGAAGUUAAAGGCUGUGGCUUAACCAUAGUAUGCUUUGGAAACUGUUUAACUUGAGUGCAGAAGGGGAGAGUGGAAUUCCAUGUGUAGCGGUGAAAUGCGUAGAUAUAUGGAGGAACACCGGUGGCGAAAGCGGCUCUCUGGUCUGUAACUGACGCUGAGGCUCGAAAGCGUGGGGAGCAAACAGG